rnacentral:rRNA from 1 species
GGGGAAUCUUCCGCAAUGGACGAAAGUCUGACGGAGCAACGCCGCGUGAGUGAAGAAGGUCUUCGGAUUGUAAAGCUCUGUCGUUUGGGACGAACGUGGAUUGUGUGAAUAAUGCAAUCUAAUGACGGUACCAAAGGAGGAAGCCACGGCUAACUCCGUGCCAGCAGCCGCGGUAAUACGGAGGGUGCAAGCGUUAAUCGGAAUUACUGGGCGUAAAGCGCACGUAGGCUGCUUUGUAAGUCAGGGGUGAAAUCCCACGGCUCAACCGUGGAACUGCCUUUGAUACUGCUUAGCUUGAAUCCGGGAGAGGGUGGCGGAAUUCCAGGUGUAGGAGUGAAAUCCGUAGAUAUCUGGAGGAACAUCAGUGGCGAAGGCGGCCACCUGGACCGGUAUUGACGCUGAGGUGCGAAAGCGUGGGGAGCAAACA